GCCUUAUAUCAGGAGCUCAGUUGGUCGAGUAGGAGGCUCUUAAUCUCGGGGUCAUGGGUUUGAGCCUCAUGCUGGGCA